CAGAUGUGGAUAUUGCUGGCUAGAUCAGUACCUAUUGUUCAUCCUGAAGUGAGAAGAUAGUUACGAGGCAACCACUUUGGUAGAUUGUUAAUCGGGCAAUCAGGCGAAAGUUGACCGAUCUCCAUUCCCAAAUGAUUCAUUCGGUCCCUGCUGAAGACUCGAGCACAAAAUCUGAGCUGAAUCCCAAUACUGUACAGAGAGAAUGCUGCAUUUUCAGAUCUCCUCUCAUACGCAGAAGAGAAGAUGGCAGCAUGCAGUGGCCACUCUGGUGAUGAAUAUCUGUUAUUUGUUAAGUAGGAUGCCGUGCACAAUCCUGAUUUGAUAGAGGCAGAUGUGAGAAGCACGGAAGAACAUCUGGUGAAACUUCUGAAAUGCCUGUUUCACUGCCGCUGCUACUGUGUGAUCCAGAAUCUCCGGAGGGAAGGCCCCAAAUCCUCGGCUUUGCUUGUUGCUUGGCGGCCGGGGCAGGGUCGAAGCGCUCAGCAGAGAUGGUGCUCGGUGCUCGGUGUUGGAGGGCUGGUCGGAAGCUUGAAGUUUUUGGAUGGACUCAGAGUCGGCUGUGGUCGGGUG